rnacentral:rRNA from 1 species
GAUGAACGCUGGCGGCGUGCUUAACACAUGCAAGUCGAACGGAAAGGCCCAAGCUUGCUUGGGUACUCGAGUGGCGAACGGGUGAGUAACACGUGGGUGAUCUGCCCUGCACUUCGGGAUAAGCCUGGGAAACUGGGUCUAAUACCGGAUAGGACCACAUUUUGGAUGGUGUGGUGGAAAGUUUUUCGGUGUGGGAUGAGCUCGCGGCCUAUCAGCUUGUUGGUGGGGUAAUGGCCUACCAAGGCGUCGACGGGUAGCCGGCCUGAGAGGGUGUACGGCCACAUUGGGACUGAGAUACGGCCCAGACUCCUACGGGAGGCAGCAGUGGGGAAUAUUGCACAAUGGGCGCAAGCCUGAUGCAGCGACGCCGCGGGGGGGAGGACGGCCUUCGGGUUGUAAACUCAUUUCGCUAGGGACGAAGCGUUAUGUGACGGUACCUGGAGAAGAAGCACCGGCUAACUACGUG